UACGUAAGUGGCGAGCGUUAUCCGGAAUUACUGGGCGUAAAGCGUGCGUAGGCGGUUUAGUGUGUGGGAUUUGAAAGCCCGGGGCUCAACUCCGGAUCCGGAUCCCAAACUGCUAGACUCGAGAGUAUCAGAGGAGAGCGGAAUUCCCGGUGUAGCGGUAAUAUGCGUAGAUAUCGGGAGGAACACCAGUGGCGAAGGCGGCUCUCUGGGGUAUUUCUAGACGCUGA
rnacentral:rRNA from 1 species